AGCAUUGCAGGGGAAUGCAUGAAUCACACCCUGAAGACCAAAAUGGAGGGAAAUAAAGAAAAAUCUAUUUUCAUUGAUUCACAUUAGCUGAAGAGAAGACAUUUCCAAGGUCGGAUGUGUUUCAGUCCCCCGUCUGGCCUUACCCACAUGACAGGAACGCAAGUUACCAGAACUCAAGAUUGCACAAGCAAAAAAGGAACAGGAGCAAAAUUCACUCUGAUAGCAAUUCUUGGAUCUGAAACCUGGACACUACAUCGCACGUGAAAUCCACCCAUCCUGCAAACAUAGAAAAGGCAUGUGAGGAUUAUCCAGAGGUGGUCUGUGUUGGCCGCCUAUGUCAGUCCUGGUCUCCUCACACCACAGCGGGCCCAUCUCAACAUCAAGCAUAAAACCGGCUGCAAUUCGCAUGCAUGUGGUUCACUUCCUCAAGGAGAAAGUGGUCUAUGUGAAGAAAGGACCAAAGACACAGAGGGAGAGAACAGUCACUUAACUAGAGAAUCCAAGAAUUACAUGGUCCUUUUCCACGCAGAGAGUCACAGAGAGGGGGUUCUGGCGCCCCCUCCAAUUUUUUUCAGGCCUCCAGCAAGGGCAGUUUGUACUGAUAUACAAAAAUGUCAGCUCUGCCCCUCACCCAUCACCCGACGCCCCUGGGGCCAGACGGUGAUGACCUGUACCGGCUUCCCCUCCUCCUGUCAUAGCCAUGUUCACAUGAGAGCUCACAGCAAAAAGCACAAAACCCUCCAACACAAUGUGAAGGAUGAAGUGUGUUGGGUGAGCAUUAAAAAAGAAAAAAGCAGUGUUAGUAGGUAACCAAAGAGCCCUAAGAGUAUGGUCUGGCUCAUCCCCUGGCCAGCAUGAGAAAGACAUGCAGGAUAAUGAUCAAGGGUGUCAUCUUGAGAGCCAGAUCAACCGGGUUCUAACUCACCACAGAGCACCCUGAGUAAGUUACUAAACUCCCUGAGCAUGUUGUAGUAUCUGUAAUCCCUGGGUUAUGUAUAGGGCAGCAGUGGAGAUUACACGAGAUGAUAUAUUUCACAAGCACCCAGUCACUCUGAGUUUGUAAUAACUGACUCUUAGCUACCCUUGUGCCAACUUUCAAGGUCUCAACCAGCAGUAAGGCAGAAUUCUAAUAAUUUCUAAAAUGAAGAAUCUGCUUCAAAGAAGCUGAGAAUACAUUUUAAUCUUUCCCUACUCAUAUCCCUUUACUCUCCUCCUUUAAUUGUAUUAUUUUCCUACCAAUUCCUACCCUCCAUCUAAUAAAAAAAAUCGACAGGCCACUCAAUACUCUGAGCCAUGAUACUUUUUUUUAUACCAAGGACCAAUCUCUGCGCUCACAGAAUAA